CUUCGAUCCAUGAAAAAAUUAUUCGCUCGCACUCGGUGAUUUUGGUCUAAUUUUGCACCUUUCCAGGUAUUUCCUCCCCGCAGUUUUAGCUGAAAAGAAAAGAGAGAUAGAAAAACGUUAGAAUAGUACUAAAAUCUGCCCAUAUUAGCGCUUUUGAGGACUUAUUUUUGCGAAAAUAAGGUGAAAAACUUACCAAAAUUGCACCAUCCAUCUGAGCCAUUGUUUACAUUGAAAGCUUUCGAAAUUUUUAUAAUCGCUGACGUAUCGCGUGAGUGAACGUCACUCAAUGAGUUCCAUUGUGUGAAUUUGAGGCUGUUCCAAUCACAUGCUGAUUGAGAAAUAGGCUAUUCGAGAAUAUCAAAAAUCCAAAUAAAAUAUUAAUAAUUCCGAUAUUUCACAAUGAAAUAGAAAAACAAACGUUUGCGUUCAUCUCUUUGAUCUCAAAAUGAAUGAUUUUCAUUCAUUUUGAGAAGGGACGAUGGGGUAAUGUAACCGUUUGUAACCUAAAAAUAAUGUGUCUCCGACACAUUUGCAAAACCGACUACAUCCCUGGUAAGGGGUGCUCAUUAACUCUCAUCGAGAGACGUCAAAACAAUCGCCACUCAGGGGUUCGUCCCAUUUUACCUCCCAUCCCUCUCACUACGCGGCUACUCUCUCCCGAGAGAUACCCAUAGGCGCGGAUGAACAGGCUUUUGUUAUUGCGAGGAAGUGUUAUCACCCAAUCAACGUCGCACACGUCAGUUCCGUUUGAUGACGUGCUUAUAUAUUGGUGUGACGGUCGGAUGAACUUUAUGUAAUUCGAGGUGGUGAAGAUUUGGCCUAGCAAGUGCAGAGUCUUUCUGUCCGUGAACGCCUUAGGGCAAAGAAGUGCGCGUCGUGUUCUUAACGUAAAAAGUAUGGUUUUUGUGCAAAGUGGUUCAACAAAUUCUAAAAUUUUUACUAAUAUUACAGGGUUAAAAACGAAGAUACGUCUACAAGUUAAAAAAAGGACGUUACAAACAAAGAGUUAAAAGUGGCUAAAACUACAAAUAUGAAAGUUUAUUAAAAAUAUUAAAAAGUAGCUACAAUCACAGCUUAAGUGUUAAAACGACUACAAAAACGAAAAAUAUUAAAACUAAUAGUACGCAAAAAGCUUAAAAACCACGUAAAACGACAACGGCGGAAAACAAAUAACAAGUUAAAAACAGUUUACGAAGAAAAAGGUAAAAUUUAUAAAAUGUUUGUAUAUAUUAAUGAAAAUUGUUAAAAAUAGUUAUAAAAAGAACAUGCGGUUAAAAACAUUGCAUCACAGGUGUAGUAAUUUCUUUGGUUAGGUCCAGAGGACCUUUUUCUUUUUGCUUUUCAUCCUACAAGCUUCGGAUCGACCUCGUGGCAGCGGUUGUGGGCCGAACCAACACCACCAACAAAAAUACGACAGAAAUACGGACAGAAAACAUCUUCGACCCGGUGGACAUAACCUCAACUGAUUCCACCUGACAAUCACGCUGACUCUGGCCUGCAUCAUCUCGAUUCAACACCAUUUCGGGACGCCGAAACUGGUGAGAAUCCGCCAGAGUAGCUGCCCGCUUCGAGAAGGAAGAAUUUCCGGAGUUGAAUCCAACACAAACAAGAAGAAAACUACACCAAAAUCGCAAGUAUAAACUAAAAGUGAUGUAUAGUUCAGGGCUUAUACAGCCAAUAAAUAACCGCCUGAAAAUUUGUAAAACUUUAA